UGGUAAUUAGUUUAAAUCAAAACAAAUGAUUUCGACUCAUUAAAUUGCGUCUAACACGUAAUUACCAA
ensembl:Mt_tRNA